rnacentral:rRNA from 1 species
UUUAACUGAAGAGUUUGAUCAUGGCUCAGAUUGAACGCUGGCGGCAGGCUUAACACAUGCAAGUCGAGCGGGGGAAGGUAGCUUGCUACUGGACCUAGCGGCGGACGGGUGAGUAAUGCUUAGGAAUCUGCCUAUUAGUGGGGGACAACAUCUCGAAAGGGAUGCUAAUACCGCAUACGUCCUACGGGAGAAAGCAGGGGAUCUUCGGACCUUGCGCUAAUAGAUGAGCCUAAGUCGGAUUAGCUAGUUGGUGGGGUAAAGGCCUACCAAGGCGACGAUCUGUAGCGGGUCUGAGAGGAUGAUCCGCCACACUGGGACUGAGACACGGCCCAGACUCCUACGGGAGGCAGCAGUGGGGAAUAUUGGACAAUGGGGGGAACCCUGAUCCAGCCAUGCCGCGUGUGUGAAGAAGGCC